rnacentral:rRNA from 1 species
UACGGAGGAUCCAAGCGUUAUCCGGAAUUAUUGGGCGUAAAGAGCUCGUAGGCGGUCUGUCGCGUCGAAUGUGAAAACCCGGGGCUCAACUCCGGGCUUGCAUUCGAUACGGGCAGGCUAGAGUUCGGUAGGGGAGUCUGGAAUUCCUGGUGUAGCGGUGAAAUGCGCAGAUAUCAGGAGGAACACCGGUGGCGAAGGCGGGACUCUGGGCCGAUACUGACGCUGAGGAGCGAAAGCGUGGGGAGCGAACAGG